GAUGAACGCUGGCGGCGUGCCUAAUACAUGCAAGUCGAGCGGACAGACGGGAAGAUUUUUCCUUUGCCGUUAGCGGCGGACGGGCGAGUGACACGUGGAUCACCAACUUCUUAGUCUGGGAGGAUUACGGAAAGCCGGUGCUAAUACCGGAUAAUAUAUUGAACCGCAUGGUUCAAUAGUGCUUGACGGUUUUGCUGUUUCUUUUAGCUGGUUCCGCGUCGGAUUAGCUAGUUGGUAAGGUAACGGCCUACCAAGGCAACGAUGCGUAGCCGACCUGAGAGGAUGAUCAGCCACACUGGAACUGAGACACGGUCCAGACUCCUACGGGAGGCAGCAGUAGGGAAUAUUCCGCAAUGGGCGAAAGCCUGACGGAGCAACACCGCGUGAGUGAUGAAGGCCUUCGGAUCGUAAAGCUCUGUUAUUGGGAAAGAAAAGAAGUGUGUGAAACCAUGGACGUCUUGACGGUACCUAAACAAAAAGCCACGGCUAACUACGUG
rnacentral:rRNA from 1 species